UAUUUAGUCCCUUCGUCUCGAAUUACUUGUUGUAGAAAUGGAUAUAUCUAGACGUAUUUUUAGUUCUAAAUACAUUCAUUUCUAUCCAUUCCGUGACAAGUAAUUUGGGACGGUGGGAGUAUCUU
rfam:Triticum aestivum genome assembly, contig: Triticum_aestivum_CS42_TGACv1_scaffold_376669_5AL